rnacentral:rRNA from 1 species
CCUACGGGGAGCAGCAGUGAGGAAUAUUGGUCAAUGGGCGCGAGCCUGAACCAGCCAAGUAGCGUGAAGGAUGACUGCCCUACGGGUUGUAAACUUCUUUUAUAAAGGAAUAAAGUGAGGCAUGUGUGCCUUUUUGUAUGUACUUUAUGACUAAGGAUCGGCUAACUCCGUGCCAGCAGCCGCGGUAAUACGGAGGAUCCCAGCGUUAUCCGGAUUUGUUGGGAUUAAAGGGAGCGUAGAGGGGUUGUUAAGUCAGUUGUGAAAGUUUGCGGCUAAACCGUAAAAUUGCAAUUGAUACUGGCAGUCUUGAGUACAGUUGAGGUAGGCGGAAUUCGUGGUGUAGCGGUGAAAUGCUGAGAUAUCACGAAGAACUCCGAUUGCGAAGGCAGAUGACUAGACUGCCACUGACAGUGAUGCUCGAAAGUGUGGGGAUCAAACAGGAUUAGAUACCCGUGUAGUC